rfam:Triticum aestivum genome assembly, contig: Triticum_aestivum_CS42_TGACv1_scaffold_320421_4BL
GUAGUACUCCCUCCAUCCCAAAAUUCUUGUCUUGCAUUUGUUUAGAUACAGAUGUACCUCACACUAAAAUGUAACUAGAUACAUCCGUAUUUAGAAAAAUUUAAGACAAGGAUUUUGGGACGGAGGGAGUACAAA